CGCAGGGACGAGCACCGGGCGCUGAUCAGGCUCAUAACCUGAUGCCGAGAGGCACAGUCGGUUCGAUUCCGACCCCUGCAACCA
rnacentral:tRNA from 1 species